rnacentral:rRNA from 1 species
UACGGGGGGGGCAAGCGUUGUUCGGAAUUACUGGGCGUAAAGGGCGCGUAGGCGGUCUUGUAAGUCGGAUGUGAAAGACCUUGGCUCAACCAAGGAAUGGCAUCCGAUACUGCGAGGCUUGAGGCCGAGAGGGGCAAGCGGAACUCCUGGUGGAGCGGUGAAAUGCGUAGAUAUCGGAAGGAACAUCAGUGGCGAAAGCAACUUCCUGGACCAAUACUGACGCUCAUGUGCGAAAGCGUGGGGAGCAAACAGG